GGAGCCCCGGGAAGGGCCGGGCACAGGCUGCGGCCCCGGCGGAGCCCCGGGAAGGGCAGGACACAGGCUGCGGCCCCGGCAGAGCCCCGGGAAGGGCAGGACACAGGCUGCGGCCCCGGCAGAGCCCCAGUCCCUCUGCCCGGCCCUGCCGCAGCAGCCGCGGCGGGGCCGCCCAAAGGGGGCCGGGGGCGGUGGGAUCGGGCCGGCAGCGCAGCGAGGGGAGGCCGCCGAGCCCCGAGUUCGGCCAGAGCUGUCCCCUCUGAGCCGCUGCCCGAGCCAGGCACCGACCCAAAGGAGUUCUGCGUAUCUUGGACUGGGAAGACGGAGGAAAGGCCGUCCGAGGGGAAGUCACUCCUGUGAGGGCAUGGCUGUUGGAAGGGGAUGAAUCCAGCGCAACUGGCAGCGCAACUGUGCCAGCUGCCAGCACCGCAGCCAGCGGCGAGCACCCCGGCAAAUAGGGGCACCAAAAUUCAGAGCCUAAGGCCGAGGGUGAAAAUUUUGCCAGGAAUUACCUGAAAAAUGCUUCUGUUAAAAAAAGGGUGUAUUUGAGAACUGCUUUUAGGUCUCGACUUUGCCCUGUUGUUUACUCAAUGCUCAAGGCAAGGUUUAUAAAAUACUUUUUAUUGGACUAUCUGCAUUUCUUGGCAAAAAAAAGCUAAGCUUUGGGGCAAACAAAACCUUCAGACUUGUGCAGCUGUGGAAAGAUGUAAUGGGUACCUAAAUUACAGAAUCUCCUCUCCGUGCUGCCACACAGGCUUGGUAUAGGACUUGCAAACUGUUGCUACAUAGGGAAUAUCCCUGGGGAGCAGACUGGGGGAGUUCGAGGUAUACAAGACAUUCACCGAGUAGGUUUUGGCUCUGCACUAUCAGUAUAGUGAAAACAGGCCCUCAUUGGCUGUGACUGAAACAAAAGUAGAACUGCUAAGACAAGACAAAAAUGUAUCUCUCUUAACAGCUUUGGAAACAUCCCAGAACUGUAGUUGGAAGAGUAGCAGGUUAUGCUGUGAAAGAAGCAGAAUAGGAACAUUUUCCAAAAUUCCAAUGAGAUCAUCCUCUACACUCUGCUGACCAGUUUCUACAGAAAAAGAUUUUAAAGCUGCCUUACUUCAGGGUGUAAUUAUUCAGACUAACAAGAUGGGAGGCUUUGUAUAAAGGAAAAUUUGGAUAUGAAUACAGAUAUGAUUCUGCCAGAGGAUUUCUUCCCUCAACUCCCAAUUUAAGCUUUUCCGAACUAGCCUGGAACCAUUAGCUGGUGUUGAUGAAUGUCUGGAUUCUGGAUGAAAUCCCAUCUGGUCUACUCGUUGAAGAGUUUGUCCAAGAUAUUUCAGUCUUUUUCAGACAGUAACAAUAAUCCCAGAUCUUUUUCCACAGUGUCCCUUGACAUCUCAUUUAGCUCUACAGUUACAGAAUGCUAGUGACUCAAAAGAUUACUCCAAUGAGUUUUUGAAAUUGAAAAAGUUUGAAAGGUCUCUGUUUCUAAAAACUUUAUAAAACUAUUUCUCCAUUUUUUUACAUUGUCUAUAGUCACAAGAGAGAAUUUUUAAGGAGUCAGAGAGGAGUCAAGGUCACCAGACAAAUGGGUCUAACAAAAACUGACUGUGCCCACAGAAAAGAACAGCUAAACUGUCAUCUGUUUUUUGUUGUUUUUCUUCUAUUUCAGUUUUGCAGGUCAGCAUAGCAAAUAGUAUUGUUCUUGGGCAUCAAAAGGAAUAAAAGGAAAUAAAUUAUUACUGUAGCAUUUAGAGACUGAUCCUGUUAGCUACUGGGCUGAAAGCCUCUUUGAAAGGGCUAAAACCUUCAUCUCCUUUUGAUAUGAUUAAGUGCACUAAUCAUCUGUUCAACUUGAGUCAGUGUGAGAUCCAAGUAUGAGCACUUCACAAGCUGUUCCAUGUCGCUCUGACCAAAGCUACAGUCAGUCUGUAAAGUCAGGCUGACACCAGCACCUGCCCAAGGUGAGAAACUUCUCCUUGGGAACUGAGUCAGCUCUAGUUAACAAACCAGCCAACCAACUGCUGCUGCUGCCACCUUUAACCAGAAGAGGGGACACAGGAAGUGACCAGCUCUAGGAUCCAGGUAUCAGCAAGACAAAGUGCAGCAGCUCUGCUCUAAACUCUGGUUGGUUUUUUAUCCCACUGGGGAUUGAACCAAUUAUUCUAGGAAAACAUGAAUUCUAAGUUCCUUAGAGAUGACUCAAAGUAUUUCAGUUAAAGUUGCUUCAGAGUUGCACAACUGACAAAUCAAUAUUUUUAGCUUUUAGGAAAAUGUCUGUAGUUUAAUUAAAUAUUUUAGAUUAGAGAGGGGUUUUCUCUGCUCUUGAGUUGCUAUAUUUAAGCUACUUUUAAACUGAAUUAGAAAUGUGUUUUGAGUCCCUGGUAACUUUGGUCCUUGGGUGUUCUCCACCAAAACACAUUUUAUAAUUCUGUACUAGUAAAUACCACUACAGUAGAAUAACUUUAUCAAAUGUAUAUGACAUAGUGAUAUUUUUGGCUAUAUAAGAAGUCUUUGGUUUCAAAGCAUUUUCCUCAAAUUAAGCACCUACAGAAAAAGAAUUAUUCAUAUGUUACAGAAGGAGAAACUGAAACACAGAAUGACAAGCCAAAAAACAUUAGCCAUGUAGUAAUCUUGCAGACCUAUUUAAAGCAUUCAUUUUUCAAGAAUGUUUGGCAUCUACAUGUUUUCAGUAGUUCUGUAUAGUCCUCCAAAGCUUACGUCAACAGGUCUGAUACUGAACAACAAAGAGUGGAAGUAUAAUGUAUAACGUAUAAAGUAUAACGUUGCUUUUUUCUUUCCCAGUACACAUUUUAUGACCCUAGUCCUGUUUUCUAGCAAGCAGACCAUUCUUUUCUGGAAACUUCAAUGUUUCACUUUUUCAGUAGUGAUUUCAUUUCAGCUACAUUUCAAAGUUAAUGGUUCUGCGGCAAGUCACCAAUCUAUCUUACAGUAUCCAUCAGUACAACACUUUUAACACUUUCCUACAGAAUGUUUUUCCCAUCUUUCCAAGUUGUUGUGGGCAACAUUCCACUUAAAAAUUAUCUUGGAACUCACUAACUCCAUUUAGGAAAAAAAACCAACUUUAAAUUACAUGUAUUCUUUUCAAAACUGCCAAAGCAAACUAAAGCAACCCUUUCUGAAAAUUUCUUUAGAAUAAAUAACUCUAGGGAUAAAUAUCAGUUAGAUUCUCAAAAUAUGUCAUGGUUGCAUGGACAAUCAGAUGGUGAUUAGAGCUCCUAUAGCUCUUUCCAACAGAUGUGUUCAUGUAAUACAGGCCUCUAGUCAGCAGUCCAAAGGUCUUUUCAAGAUGAGAUAUAUGCUUUUCGUCCUAAACAUGUUAUUCUUAGAAGGUGGAUUUGAAUGUUGAGAGCAGUAAAUUAUUGAAAAGCACUCUAAUAGUUCACUUUCCAUUUGUAACAAAUCAAAUGACUGAAGAAAAGAUUGUACUACAAAUACUUCAGAGAAAGGGUCUUCCUAAUUAAAGAAAAUUUGUUUGACAAAUGACAAAAUGACAAAAACUAGAAUUAAGUUAAAUGAUAUAUGAAGUGAAUAGCAAACAAAGUGGUAGAAUACUUGUAGCUGAUGAGAAAGCAAUUCAAUAAUAGAGUGAAAUUACUUUGCAAAUAUUUAUAUACAAUACAUUUACUUAAAUUGAAAACCAUCUACUCUUGGAAGGAACUUCCUUUUCAACAGCAGUGAUUUGGCAAAAACAGCCCUGGGGGCAUUAUGUCCUGACAUUGUUGACAGGCAUGAAAAGUGCUCUGUAUGUUUCCAUUCCUAAGAAAACAAACUGAUAGCUCACAUUCACUUUCAUUCUCAGCUUGUGUCUCCUACUAGGAUCAUAGCUAAAAUCUGCUGGUCCUUCUUUGGCUUUAGGAUAAAAACUGUUCCAUAUAACUUCUUCAUCUUUUACUCAUCUGACAGGAACUGUAACUGCUCAUUCUUCUCCUUGUUGAGCAACUUCUCAUCUUCCUGCCUGAUGACCUUCUGUUCCACUCCUACUUCAGAGAUCCCACCACAGGUGGUUUACAGCUUGUUUACAUAUUUGCCACAAGACUUUUCCCCCAACCUAAUUUCACGUGCAGAGAUGUGGAAAAAGAAAGGAAAAAAAGUAGUUUUCUUCAAAUGUUGAACAAAGGCUUUAAUAGGAAUAGAGACAGAAAACACCUUCAAAGCUAUACUAUCUUUAGUUCUGCUUCACUAGAGAUCCCUUUGUCCAGAGUCUAUCAGUUUUACUCCUGUUUAAAUAAACAAUACACCUGUCCUUUCUUGUAUCUGCCAAUGACAGGGUGACUAUUCAGUAGCCAAAUUCAAAAUAGACCAAUUCAUAUGGAAAAAAGACAUCUGUCAUACAGACAAAUAUUUUUAAAGUUUGAACACUGGAAGUAGGAUUUUUUGGGUGUUAAUUACCUAAAUACACAGAGGAGCACACAGCAAAGUAUUCAGGUUUCUAAGUGUGUGUCUAGUUCCCAGUCCAAUUCAAUAGCACUUGCAAAAGUGUCAGCAGUGACAUAGGGCUACCUGAAAUUCCUGUGUACCUUCAGAGCACAGGGAUAGUCAUUCAUCUUCAGAAAUGUAGUAUUUAACUCUAUUGUAAAGUUAAUUCUUUAUGUUGUUAAUGACAAAGAACAAAAUAAAAUAAACCCAAAGAAUAUCAGCCAACAGGAAGCCUGAAUUAUUUCUUAUUCAGUGAAUGACCUCUAGUGGUCAUUCAUCACAGCUUUCACAGCAGUUGACAUGCCAGCUCGGAACAUGAUGUGCAUUGUUUGUGAAAUAUAGAACACGAGAAUCAAUUUUUCUUUUUUUUUUUUUUCAAAACUGUGUGUUGUGAAAUUUUUCUCUACCUCUGGCACUGUUAAAAUCAUAAUUUUUUUCACUUUAUGCAGUGAGCCCUGGGUACUCUGCAGGAGUUUUAAGCCAGAGCUCUAGCACCUGCAUUGCCCCUUGCUGUUUUCUCUUUGCUAGCCAGUGCCUCCCUCAAUCUUUGAAACCUCCCUCAGCCUCUUUGAAAUUUGUCAGAGACACCCUUCUGUCAUCCCACACAGCCUUGAGUGUAUUCUGUUAGCUUGAUAACCUCUGUUCAGCUUCUCAUAACAUCAUUGAAUUGCCUGAAAAGGGCCACCAGCCAUCAUCUCUCACUGCUGGCCAAAGUAGACCACUUCAUUCUGAACAUGUAGUGAGCUUAUCUGUCUAAAAAGCAAACUCAGCAGAUGUAAUACUUGCAAUAUAAUUGGGAAGAGAGCUCUAAUCCUCAGUAUUGUGGGACAUGAAAAGAAGUCUGAGUUAAACAUUCAGCAAUAUGUCAGAAAACAAAUGGUAUUCUCAUCUCACAGGGGUUUUAUCAGCAUUUCUGCUGAUCUUUCUGUGGCUUCUUUAAACAGUUGCGCCAGAUUGUUCUGCUGGACAUGCAUAUCAGUCCAGAUAUUCAAGAAUUUAUUGAAAGCUUUUGCUAAAGACAGAAAAUGGGUUCUGAGAAAUAGCUCCUCUAUUCCUACCUUUCUCAACUAUGGGUGUUAUAUAAGAAUUCUUAUAUUUUAUUUUGUAUGUAAAUGAGCAUAUCAUAUCUGCAACCCAAGCUGCAUCACAGGUGAAGGAUCCACAUGAUAAUUUUGUUAAUCUCAGGUAGCUUUUGGUAGUCAUCUUUUCCACUACACAAACCUGGUAACAGAGGAAGAACAGCACCUUCAAGAGGAGACCAGUGACCUAGGAAUUUAUGGUUAAAAGUUUUUUGAGAUUGCUUCAUAGCCCUACUUCCAGUACUGAGAGAUCCUUGAGAGAAACUUGAACAAAACAUUUUAUCUGUUUAAAAGGCAUUCUGAAAUUCUUGCUUACCAGAAUAGUUUCAAAAGAAGAAUGAUUUAUGUGAGAAAUAAAGUUUGGAAACUAUGCUGACAGAACAGUGAUGAACCUUUUCUAUGUAGGCAGCAUAAUCUACAUUGAAGAUGGGUUUUUUCCUUAAAAAAAGAGCAAAACAGUGGACAGUCUGUAUGACUACCUGUGUUGUAGUGUUCUAGGUAUUUUGCAAGAAAAAAAAAAAAAGGAAUAGAUCUGUAGAUGAGCAUGAGAUGUCAUCACAGUUUGAUCAGAAUGCUUACCAGGGGAGAAAUUCCAGUAUUAAAGGAAUUUUCCCCCUAAUUUCUCAUUCAUUUUACUGUAAGUGACAACAGUAGGUGGAUUCUAGAGAAUGGUUCAUUAAUAUUUUUUUCUUCCUAGAAAUUAGAGGAUAUGCAUCUUAAAGAUAAUAUUUGUAGGUAAGGUAUUUAGGGGCUUGUAUACCAAGUCAUGUACAAGUAGACGGUCAGUCCUUAAUCAUUAAACCAAAGUAUUAGAGAAUACUUUGUUUCUAGUCUGUAGUCAAGUCUAAUUCAGACAUUUUUUUUAUGUUAGAAUUGAUGUCUAGAUGCUACUCAAAAUAUUUUUUUCUAAUAUCCAAUAUUUUUGAACAUCUCAUUCAUUUAUCUCUGUUGAAACAGCUUGAUUUAUCUCUGUUGUUUGGUGAAACACUGUAGUAAAAAGUAUCAGACAAAAUAAUUUUUUAUUAUUAAAUAUUUUUUUCUUUGAAAUGCUGACUUUUCCACUGAAAAUUUCUUUGGAAUAUAACCUAAGAAGAAAUAUUCUUGUCUUGUUCCUAAUAUGAUCAUUUGCUCAGAUUUUUCUAGAGAUUGAAACUGUAUGGUACCAUGUGUCUCUCUCCUCAGUAAUUUUAAAUUAUACAUACUGAGACUCUUACUCUUUAUUUGGAAUGAAUUGGUAUUAGACAGUAUAAUUGGCUAUGAGAAAGCUAACUCAGCUGAAAAUUGUUUUCUAGGUAACUAGCCCUGUGUAGAAUUGGAAGGGUUUCCCUGAGUUGGUCUGGUCAGUGUGUCUGUGUGUAUAAUUUGCUCUGGGCUGAGAGUCCUUCUUCAGGGGUAUUAUGUGCAUGUAGAGUGCUUUGCCUAAAACUUCAUCUGUGCUCAAAGCCUUCAUAUCAAAAUCCAACAUAGUUUCUAACUAGUCCCUGCACUGGCUAUGAAGAUUCUAGUACUUUGUUUUUAACAAAUAACUCCAUUUUAAUGUAAUUUCCCAUUUUGAAGCUAAGCCCAAAAUCCAUGAAUAUUUUGGGCUUGUUGCUCCUGCAAGACAUUAAAUCCAAAUUUAUUAUCAUCAUUUUACAGAGUAGCUCUUUAACAGAAGUAUUCAGCAUCAAAAUCAGCUCAAGGAUACUAAAUCCUGUUGGUUGCAGAAGUUGGGUAGAUCUUCUUUUUGGGGGUUCAGAAUAGCCAGAAAUACAGCUCAUGAUCUUUUAGCUCAAU